ACAGUGGCUAUUUGACUCAACGCGGGAAAUCUUACCGGGUCCGGACACACUGAGGAUUGACAGACAGUAUUCAUGCCGACUGAAUUUCGACAUAUUUCAAAUGUGCGAGUUCUUUCAUGAUUGUGUGAUAGGUGGUGCAUGGCCGUUCUUAGUUCGUGGAGUGAUCUGUCUGCUUAAUUGCGUUUCAUAUUUACGAAUGUCGCUUACGUGAUUGCUGCAGACCUCGCGUCUCUUUAUUGAGU
rnacentral:rRNA from 1 species